rnacentral:rRNA from 2 species
AUUGAUUGAUGGUGCUUGCACCUGAUUGAUUUUGGUCGCCAACGAGUGGCGGACGGGUGAGUAACACGUAGGUAACCUGCCCAGAAGCGGGGGACAACAUUUGGAAACAGAUGCUAAUACCGCAUAACAGCGUUGUUCGCAUGAACAACGCUUAAAAGAUGGCUUCUCGCUAUCACUUCUGGAUGGACCUGCGGUGCAUUAGCUUGUUGGUGGGGUAACGGCCUACCAAGGCGAUGAUGCAUAGCCGAGUUGAGAGACUGAUCGGCCACAAUGGGACUGAGACACGGCCCAUACUCCUACGGGAGGCAGCAGUAGGGAAUCUUCCACAAUGGGCGCAAGCCUGAUGGAGCAACACCGCGUGAGUGAAGAAGGGUUUCGGCUCGUAAAGCUCUGUUGUUAAAGAAGAACACGUAUGAGAGUAACUGUUCAUACGUUGACGGUAUUUAACCAGAAAGUCACGGCUAACUACGUGCCAGCAGCCGCGGUAAUACGUAGGUGGCAAGCGUUAUCCGGAUUUAUUGGGCGUAAAGAGAGUGCAGGCGGUUUUCUAAGUCUGAUGUGAAAGCCUUCGGCUUAACCGGAGAAGUGCAUCGGAAACUGGAUAACUUGAGUGCAGAAGAGGGUAGUGGAACUCCAUGUGUAGCGGUGGAAUGCGUAGAUAUAUGGAAGAACACCAGUGGCGAAGGCGGCUACCUGGUCUGCAACUGACGCUGAGACUCGAAAGCAUGGGUAGCGAACAGGAUUAGAUACCCUGGUAGUCCAUGCCGUAAACGAUGAGUGCUAGGUGUUGGAGGGUUUCCGCCCUUCAG